UUAUUCUCAAGAUUAACUGCUAAAUGCUUAUUAAUGUUCAAUGCUUAUUUCAUUUGGAUUGUAGCGUGCUUCAUGUAAUUGGGCAGGAUGUUUAACCCUCUAAAUCUGGUCUAAAGGAUACUUUAUUUAAUUGGGCAGGAUGUUAGUGAAAGCGUGUAUAUUUAACAUUUUAAUUUUUUUGAUAAUUUUAAUUUUAUAUCUUUAUUUAAGUGAGACCGGGUCAAUCGGUUCAACCAUUGAUCUGCCCGAUAGACUGAUCGGUUCGAUAAACGGUUCAGUUCUAAUAACUAUGCAUUCAAUUCCUCACUGCAACCCCAUUUCCCCUGAACCCUCUCUUCUGCGUCUUCCUUCACUUAUUAUUAUUACUAUUAUUAAUUAAUUAUUUCUCACAAAAGGUUCAUGUCUGGUUGUUGAUUAGGGGUUGGUAUUCUCUGUGUUAGCCUUUUAUCUUGUCCAGAGAAACUUCUAGAUUGUUCUAGAAGGAAGCUGUGGUUCUUGUAUGAGUGUGUGGGCAUGGAUAUAGUUGAAUCAGUGAGAAAGAUUCCUUUGCAAGACCCACCCGAGGAAGAUUUCUGUGCUGCUGAUUUGACUUGGACCAAGUUUGGCAAUGCUGAGCACCAUGACGAGGUUGCCCUUAUUCCCUAUGACCGAGUUGAUGCUUUUAUAAUUGGUGAGUGCUCUAAUGUUGAGUGGCCUACUCGCUUCCAUAUUGAGCGCGGAAGGAAGCGAGCUAUUGGUAGCUUGAAGGAGUAUAAGGAUGAUGAGUAUCUUGAGUACAGGCUGUACUGGUGCUCAUUCGGACCAGAAAAUUAUGGGGAGGGUGGAGGUAUAUUACCCAGUCGAAGGUAUCGGCUUAAUACCAGAAAUCGUGCUGCUAGACCUCAAUCAAUGCGGGGUUGUACUUGUCAUUUUGUUGUCAAACGUCUUUAUGCACGUCCAUACCUAGCACUUAUCAUAUACAACGAAAGGCGCCAUAUUAACAAGUCUGGUUUUGUUUGCCAUGGACCACUUGAUAGAGAUGCCAUUGGUCCUGGUGCCAAAAAUGUUCCAUAUAUAUGUAAUGAAAUUCAGCAGCAAACUAUGUCUAUGAUUUAUUUGGGCAUUCCUGAAGAGAAUAUCCUGGAGAAACACAUUGAGGGAAUUCAGCGAUAUUGUGGUUCGGAUGCAAAAGUUAAUAGUCUUGCCUCUCAAUAUGUUCACAAGCUAGGGAUGAUUAUCAAAAGGUCUACCCAUGAGCUGGAUCUAGAUGAUCAAGCCAGCAUUCGGAUGUGGGUUGAACGGAACAAAAAGUCUGUAUUCUUUUAUCAAGAUACUUCGGAGUCAGAUCCUUUUGUUUUGGGGAUCCAAACAGAAUGGCAGUUGCAACAGAUGAUUCGUUUCGGUCAUUGCAGUGUUGUUGUGGCAGACUCAACCUUUGGCAUAAAGAGACUCAAAUAUCCCUUGUUCACGCUUCUUGUUUUUGAUUCAAGGCAACAUGCACUUCCUGUCGCAUGGGUCAUUACACGUAGCUUUUCAAAGCCUGACAUGUCAAAGUGGCUGAAUGCUUUAAUUGAUAGAGCUCAUAGUGUUGAACCUGGAUGGAGAGUUAGCGGCUUUGUGAUUGAUGAUGCUGCGGCUGAAAUUGAUCUUUUAAGAGACAUAUUUUGCUGUCCAGUCCUAUUUUCACUGUGGCGCAUUCGUAGAUCAUGGCUAAGGAAUAUUGUUAAGAAAUGCUGUAACAUUGAGGUUCAACGGGAGAUUUUUAAGCGUCUUGGGGCAAUAGUGUAUAGUAUCUGGGGUGGUGUUAAUACAUCGCUUGCGUUGGAACAAUUUUUGCAGGACUUUGUUGACCAAACUGAUUUCAUGGAAUAUUUCAGAGCUUCUUGGUUACCAAAGAUUGAAAUGUGGCUUUCAACAAUGAGAAAUUUUCCGCUAGCCAGCCAGGAAGCUUCUGGAGCAUUAGAAGCAUAUCAUGUUAAACUGAAAGCUAAACUUUUUGAUGAUUCACAUCUUGGAGCACUGCAAAGAGUAGAUUGGUUAGUCCACAAGCUAACAACUGAGUUGCAUUCGAGCUACUGGCUCGAUCGCUUUGCUGAUGAGAGUGAUUCGUUCCAGAGUGUGAAGGAGGAAUACAUUGCUUCUACGUCGUGGCACCGAGCACUUCGAAUCCCCAACAAUGCCGUUACUUUCAAUGAUAAAGACCGCUUCUUUGCCAAAGUUGUUAGCCAGAAAGAGAGCAAAUUGACACGUAUAGUGUGGAAUCCAGGAUCUGAAUUUGCAUUCUGUGAUUGUGCUUGGUCAAUGCAAGGUAACCUUUGCAAGCACGUCAUAAAAGUAAACAUGGUCUUUGAAAACAUCAAAGGUUGUCAACCAUCCAUGUCAUUGAAAUCAUUUGAAGACAUUUUGAUAGAUCUAUGGAGAAAACCAGUGGAUGGUUCCAUUGCAUUGGAUCUGUCUCUAGCUUGGACGCAGCAGAUCCUAGAUCAAAUCGAAAAACUCGUCGAACUGAAUAACUCGCCGGAUAUUGGCACUGUUGUUAACAAAAUGCCUUUGAAUUGGGUUUCUAAGAAAGGUCGAACCUACACCGGCAAACCAACGUUGCGUUACACUCUUCCACCGGCUAACAGCAACCCCAAAAGUUUGAUUGUAUACAAGAGGAGUCGCAAAAGGAAAAGAUUAUCACAAUUAAGAUGAUCCUGAAUUAGCACAAAUCGAGUUUAUUCAGGAAGUUGCCGAAUCGGCCCUUGUACCUGCAAAUAUCUAGUUGUUGGCAACGAAAAUGGAGCAGAAGAGAGAAGGUAAGUUGGUAGACUAAAGAGAGCAGAAUGCAAUGUUUCAGGGUUUGAGAGAGUGACAAUGAAAGAGGUUACAUAAAGACGUUUGCAAUGAUUUGUGUAGAUUUGAUGCUGAAGAAGAGUGGCGGAGAAGCAAAAAGGGUUUUAAUGUUCUUGGGGCAAAUUUCUAAAUCAUUUUAAGUGAAACACCCAAAAAGCAAAUAAAUAUAUAAUAUAUUCAAUUUCGUAGUUAACUUAUUUUGGAACUAAAAUCCAAUACCAACUAGAUGAAUGAAAACACACAAGCAUAGUGGGUGGACUGUUUAUAUAAAAUUGAGUCCUGCUAGAGAGUUAAUAGAAUAUUUAUACAAUGUGUAUAAUGGGCUAUUGAGUUAAAAAAUAAACAUCACCCAUACUAUCCAGAAUAACCAUCUGAGUAUUAGGGAUAAUAAACAUCUCAUGUCAUGAAAUCACUCAUCAUUCUUGACUUUUCGGAUCUAGAACUCUGAUACCAUGUCAUCAUACCACUCAUCCGAAAAACUUCCGUUGAUGGGAAAAGAUAACACUAAUGGUUAUAUCUCUAAUACUGAAUCGGAUAUCCAUAAACUUUCAUUAUACAUGUAUAAAUAUUCCAUUGAUUUCCUAUACUUCUAUAAAAUUUGCGGUAUGUUUUUCCCUUGAAGUUGAAGGCAUAAUAGCAGAGAAUUCAAAGACAUGCAAAUGUGGUGACACCAAAACAGAGGAACAAAGAAAAGUUUUGAGGCAUCCGGAGAGAACUAGAAAACAAGUGAAAGACAAGAUUGGGCUAGGCAAAGUAGAAUAAACGGAAUAGGGUCUAUCACAACGUCUGGCUUGGUCGGUAGAAGAUGCAGAGUUGGAGAUGAAAAGUACAGGGUCGUAUGUUUGUUUAAGCGAAAGAUCUUUUAGUAAAUAUUUUACGAAAUAAAUGGAUAAGAUUUACUGUAACUUUAUAUUACUGCAAUGGAACCGAACUCGUCUAUCCUGGUACGAAGAAUUUUAAGUGUAUUAGGUA